rnacentral:rRNA from 1 species
UACGUAGGGUGCAAGCGUUUGUCCGGAAUUAUUGGGCGUAAAGAGCUCGUAGGCGGUCUGUCACGUCGGCUGUGAAAUCCCGAGGCUCAACCUCGGGUCUGCAGUCGAUACGGGCAAACUAGAGUAUUGCAGGGGAGACUGGAAUUCCUGGUGUAGCGGUGAAAAUGCGCAGAUAUCAGGAGGAACACCGGUGGCGAAGGCGGGUCUCUGGGCAAUAACUGACGCUGAGGAGCGAAAGCGUGGGGAGCGAACAGG